CGUUUGCUGUAAAGAGCUGGUUUUCAGAUCAGGCGGCGGUGUGAAAGGAAUGGGGUAAAAGCCCCGCGCGACCGGCACUGUGAGCGCAAGGAUGCAGUUGAAGCGGCGAGAGCCGCCUGGACCAAAGUCCGCCAUUGCAGGGAGUUGUCCCCUGUGAGAAGGUAAACUGCAAACGUAGAGAGUUUUCUCUCUGUGGCGUGAGUCAGGAGAAUUGCACUGUUCAGAACCUACCAG
rfam:Clostridiales bacterium 52_15 Ley3_66761_scaffold_2124, whole genome shotgun sequence.